rnacentral:rRNA from 1 species
UACGAAGGGGGCUAGCGUUGCUCGGAAUCACUGGGCGUAAAGGGUGCGUAGGCGGGGCUUUAAGUCAGGGGUGAAAUCCUGGAGCUCAACUCCAGAACUGCCUUUGAUACUGAGGAUCUUGAGUUCGGGAGAGGUGAGUGGAACUGCGAGUGUAGAGGUGAAAUUCGUAGAUAUUCGCAAGAACACCAGUGGCGAAGGCGGCUCACUGGCCCGGCACUGACGCUGAGGUGCGAAAGCGUGGGGAGCAAACAGG